rnacentral:rRNA from 1 species
AGUGGGGAAUAUUGCACAAUGGGCGCAAGCCUGAUGCAGCCAUGCCGCGUGUAUGAAGAAGGCCUUCGGGUUGUAAAGUACUUUCAGCAGUGAGGAAGGGUAUGUAGUUAAUAACUGCAUAUCUUGACGUUAGCUGCAGAAGAAGCACCGGCUAACUCCGUGCCAGCAGCCGCGGUAAUACGGAGGGUGCGAGCGUUAAUCGGAAUUACUGGGCGUAAAGCGCAUGCAGGUGGUUUGUUAAGUCAGAUGUGAAAGCCCGGGGCUCAACCUCGGAAUUGCAUUUGAAACUGGCAGGCUAGAGUACUGUAGAGGGGGGUAGAAUUUCAGGUGUAGCGGUGAAAUGCGUAGAGAUCUGAAGGAAUACCGGUGGCGAAGGCGGCCCCCUGGACAGAUACUGACACUCAGAUGCGAAAGCGUGGGGAGCAAA